UCACAUUGUUCAGUUUAUCAACGAGGAGGAUCUGCCAUUUGCAGUGGUUCCGCAAGAGUGGCUCAGCGAGAGCAUGUGCCAUUGGCCCCCAUUUAACCUCACCAAAAAGACGAAGGCAACAAUUUAGCCAUCCUCUGCACACCUCCACACAGCACCUGGGAGAAACAUCAUUUUAAGUUCAUGAAGGGAGCAGAAUCUUGGAAGUCUCAAGAAAAAAAACUCUAGAAAGAUGCAUCGAUUCCAGAAAACCAGGAAAAUGCUGAACUGGUUUCUCCCCAGUAAUCCAGACUCCACUUCACAGAGCCAAGAGUUUGAGUACAACUUGGUGUAGGGGAUAAAGCAUGUUUUAGAGACAUGUUCCUGAAGACCAUUGUUCAAACCAUCCGGAAGGACCCGGCAACCCAGGAUGCACUGAUGAGGCGGUCCAGGUUAACGUUACGCGUUACCUGAAAGGAGCAUCUGACCGUGAAGGCAGAAAAAGGCGCCGCACAGCUGAGAGGGACCCACAGCCGACCACUUAAAACUAGACUGACUAUUGACACCCCAGAAUCACUGACAACUGGAAUCCUUUCUUUAUCUUGCAGUCAGUAGAAUCAAGACCCCUAAAGAAGUCAGAAGUGUCAGACUACACUCACUCACUGUGGAAAUUACUUUCUUUUUUUCUUUUUCAAAUAAAGCUUGUAAAUCCUUGUGCCACAGGUCAGCAUUGCCGUUAUAAUGGCCUAUUCUACUCCAGAGCUUUACUAUAAAUUACUACCACUUAUCAUAUUGUUAGAAAUGGCUUGUAAAUGUAGUUAUACUUUUAUUUAUUUGGUAUCUUGCACAUUAUUUGGUAUCAAAUAUCCUCUUUACUUGUCAUAAUGUUUACU